rnacentral:lncRNA from 1 species
CGCACCUGGACUCAUUAGAAGUCUUAGGGCUGGAAGAGAUGCAGCUCUGGGCUGGCUCUGAUGCGGACUUGUCACAAAGGCUUGGGCCUGCCUGUCUAGGAUCCUGUCUCUGCAGCUCUGCCCACGUGACCGUAUCCUUGGAAGAAAAAAAAAAUGGGGAUGCACAAAGUGACCAGCACAGGGUAUUCGUGAUGACCGGGGAACAGAGAUUGAGAAAGCAAGAGCCUUCCUGGCAAAUCUGGGUUCAGACGCGGCAGAGACAGCUGUUUCCAGCCACUGCUAUGAACCCAUCUAAGUGAAAUUGUGAGGACUAAGGAGAGAGGCACCCAUGACUGCCUUAAUCCACUCCUACCCAUCGUCUCUUCACCCAUCCACCCAUCCUUGCUGCAGACCUUUACUGGGCACCUGUGCCAGGAGACCAUCACUGCCCAUCAGAAGCUCAUACAGGGAGAAGCAGUGGCCACAGCAGAAGGCGUCCCGGGUCCUAGAGAGCACCUGGAGAACAAGGGAGAGCUGCAGAAACCGCCCUGUCUGCAUGUGUGCCCUCAUGUUCUUGGGUGCAUGUCUGUGUUUGUGUGUGUGUUUGCUUAUGUGCAUGUGCAGUGUGUGUGUGUUCGAGACAGAGCGAGACUGAGAGUGCAAGUGGGUGUAAGCACACACACCCACCCGUCAGCCCUGCCUGUCUGCUCAGAGUUUUGCCUGUCACCCGGCCACGCCCUGUGACCCCCCUCCUCGGCUGGGUGCAGCCAGGACACCUGUUGCCAGCUGCGAGCACCUGCCUGGUUGCUGCGCCCGUGUCCUGUGCAUGUUCCAAGCCAGCCCCCUGGGGUAAUCCAGGCCAUGACUCAGGAACGUCAUGUUGGGACACCCGAGACCCCCAGCCCCUGCCCUAGGGGUCAGGGCAGCAGGUCCCAUCUCCCUUAGCUGGGCUGGGCCCAGGCAGCCUGUAUCACUGUUUGCUCCAGAGGCUGGGUGCGUCCUGCUUGGGGGCUGUGUGAGGCCCGCUUGUUUUCACCCACAGAUUCCCAGGGUUCUCAAGGCAGAGGAAAGCGACAAUUAGGGCAACACCCAUGUUGGUUGGAUCAGAGUGAAUCCCAGGCCUGCUUGGGAGGCUUUAGGCACUCAGCUCGGCCAUCUCUGAGGGUAAGGGCAUGUCAGCCACUCUGCUGGGGCAUCUCUGUGCUCAGCACCAUGUGGGCUCAUCACAGACACAAGAGUGCGUCCUCUCAGAGGGAAUGGUCUGGCAGGUUUUGCCUGUUUUCCUGCUCACAGGUUGAAUUUCUUGGCCAGCAUCCCAUAGCCAGGCCAGAGCGGAGCAGGGCUGCCUGCUGCACCCAGUGGCUUCUUGUCAAUCUCGGCCUCUCGUUCCCUGCCUGGGAGAGGGUCUCAGUGUGAAGGGCAGAGGGGUCUUCUGGAACCAGCCAGUGCUGUGUCGGAGAGAAAGACCAGGAGGAAAUUGGAGGGGUACAGGCCUGAAACUCUCCCGCUGCCUUGCCAGGCACCCAAACCUGCUUGACCUGAGUGUCUUUCCGGCGGCGGGUGGGGGGGAGGGGGGUGGGGCGUGCUGCAUCGCUUACUUUGCCUGUGUCUUAGGGGAGCCUACCCAUUGCCCUCCAGCACCGGCGAACAAAGACCCCCACGGUGGCCAGGCCUGUGCGGGGUGUAAACAGUGUCCCAGGGUGUCUUGGUGUCCUCACUACUACAUCCUCCACGUUCCAGAGGAGAAACUGAGGCCCGAGGACACCCAGAAUUUCCCAGGGUCACACCAAGGGGAAACAGGUGACGUUGAAGUGGACACAGGGUGAUGAGAGGGGUGCAGAAAAGGAGAUACCCUGGCAUGCCAAGCCUGGGGCUGGUUGUCCACAUCCAGGAAGGUCCCUGCAAGGUUGUGGCACCUUUUCAUGGCAAGCAGACGCAGCACCAUGAAUACCCACAGCCACUCCUAAGGGCCCCUUCAUGCGGUGGCUGUGCCCAGCACUGGGCACGCAGGAACCAAGGCCCAGAGAGUUCUGGGUGGGUGGGGAGAGCUAGAGCCUUCCUUCUGGGCUCCAGGGCUUUUCAGUAGCACCACUGGCUUUCUAGAAGGUUGCUGUGUGAUUGGAAACUUGUGCUUUGAGAUACGAUUAUCUGUGUGGGGAGGAGGUUGUACUGGAGUCAGCAGUGAGGGGUGGCAGCACUAGGCCAGAAAUGGAUGUGGGGUCCUCUUGCGUGGAGCUGCCACUCCCCCAGCCACUCUGUCCUUACAACCAAAACCCCAAAAGGGGGCUGAGCCGGCCCUUGUGAGUGAGAGUAGAGGAGAAGGAAGGGGCUGUGGGGGGAGAGAAGCACAUGGAGCUGGCCCACGUGGAGAGAGGGACCCUGGGUGGCAGGGUGGCGUUGGGGGAGAUUUGCCAUCAGAGUGACCUUAGUGACUGUGCCACCUCGACCCUGACCUGGGCAAUGCCUGUGAGGGCACUGGGGCCCAAGGUCCCAGAGGAGCAGGGGAACUAAGAUGUGGCUCUCACAGAACCUCAAAUGUAUCUCCAGACAUCCACAUAUCUGCACCUGACACACAUUUCUGGAACAGCUACUUGGCCAAGCACCACCAGUUUGUCUCUAUGCCCCUCUUGCUGGGGAGCCCAGUCUGGGGCAAAGGAAGGCACAGGGGCAUCCGCUCCAGGCUUUCCAGAAUAGGCAGAACACAGAAGGGGUGCCCGCCGGACACGCGGAGGGAGGAGAUGAGAAGAGUCCCCAGCGCCAGAAGGGGUGGAGACGGCCUUGCUGGGGCAGGGCCACAGGUCACCUGCUGCUGGGCUCUGGCUGCAGUGGGAAACAACCAAAGUUUUAAAAAGAGGGUGAACCUCUUAGGAAAGGAAAUGACAUUUAUAAAGAGGUAGGGACGUGGGGGCAGGGAUGAUGGCCUUGGUGGCCACAGCUCUUAAACCAGUGGGGAGGAGGCAGCCACGCCAGCAUGGUGAGAUCCAAGCCGCAGUGACGGGGCUGCACUCGCUCCAGGUAGAUUGCUCAAAUGGAAGCUUCUGGAUGGAUAACUAAGGCAGCACAACCCCCAGUCAUUGUCUGAGGGCCACCCUGGGGGAUGGAGCGAGUGCAGGCCAAGUGGAUGCAGGGCCCACGGCCAGUUUCCAGGGUGAGCUGCAGGGCAAGCCGUGGGAAGCCCCAGAGGCAGACGCUGAGGGAUGGGCACCCCAAGAGAGUCCAGGGAUCCGAGGCCACCUGGGUGGAGCCCGGACAGCGUCUACUCCAGGGAGCAAAGCUGAGGCAGGAGCCGAGGGCUUUCCAGUGGAUGUGGAGACUUCGGCUUACUCCCGCACUGACUUUAUCCCAUUUCUGAGCCUGUCGGCACGUGUAGAGCAUUUUGGGCUCAGUUUCUCUAGAGACUAACUGUGGCCUCCCAUGGGGUGGGGACAGGACAGUCUCCCGGCUGCAUGGAAUGGGAUGCCGACCGAGGGACGGGCUCUCUCUUAAAGACUUGCCACCACACCUCUCUUGUCCAUGCCAGGCUUCUGGGGUCCCCUCUGCUGCAGGUGCUUCGGGAGUCUCAGUGGUUCUUCAGGGCAAAGCUGGCCCUGACCGUGUGCUGCAUGCCCGGAGGUCUGACAUCGGUGCUGCUGAGUGGCCUGCCGUGGUUCUCUUGGUUUCCCAUCUUGCAAAGAGUCGGUGAACUCUCACCUGCUCUUGUCUCCUCGUCUCUGUGCCCUGUCCUCCUGCGGGGCUUGGGAAACCAUAGGUGAUAAACACAUGAGCCAAUCUGCCAUCUCCACUGGAGCCAAUGCUCUUUCUGUGUUCCCAUUGGCCUGCCUAGGACUGAGGUCAGCUCCAGGGUCAGAGGCAGGACUGGAGUUGGGUUCUAACUGAGGCAGAGACAGGGCUUGGGAGAAGAAAUCAAGGUGGAGGGCAGAGGCUCCAGGUCUUUGCCAGGCUCACCUCAGAAGUGGGUGUGUCAGGCUGUCCAGAGUGGAGUGCACAGAAGCUGGGGCUUUGACAAGGGCAGGGUGACCAGUCCAGGCUGGCCUCAAAGGCAAGAGCUUGACUGCAGGGCCAGCAGGCGUGUGAUGUGGGUGGGCCCUAAGGAGGCUGAGGGAGAGGAUAAACUGUGAAGAGCCAGCAGCCCAGAAGCUAAAUGCAGGGAGGCAGAGAAGACAGGAGAGAUGGAGGCUUGCAGGACCUGGUGGUUGGGGAGGGCCAGUGACCAGGUGUUUAGAAGCAGCACCUCCUGUGAUUGGGGCUGAGGGUGAACUCUGCUUUCAAGCAGAGGUGGUUUGUCGUGGGUCUUCCAUGAUGACACCAGGUCAAGGUAGGCUGUUAGCACUGAGGCCUGUGGGAAGGCGAGGCCCGUGGGCAGAGUCCCAGAAUGGGAGGAAAAUGAAGACAGCCACUGCAGGGACUUGGGUGUCAUUCUGAAGGAAGCCACUUAAUGGUAAAUGGAGCAACAACAUGGUAGCCUUUCCUCUGGGGGAGCCCAGAGACAAGGGGGGUCUGGGGAGGCAGGCAGGCAGGCAGGCAGGUCAGGCCAGGGAGGGGCUGUGCCCAGCAGGGAAUGGAUGGCACACUCCCUCCCAGAAAGGCUGCUGCAGGGCUCAGCACUCUGAACCUUAAAAGGUUUACCCAACAGAGCCUCCAGAUGCUCAGAGUCUUGCAGGCUCAGAACAAGAAUUGUCAACUUGCCAAGAUGAAUCUGUCUCUCGGGGGAGGACCCACACAGAACAAACGUUUGAAGCAGAAGUUUGCUUGGUAAACAUGGAAUCGGAACAUGGGAAUUGGGCCACUGGGAUAUUCAAUUGCGUCAGACCAUUGUAGCUGAUACUCCUGGACAGAGGGGCUUUGCCAACUGGACAGAUAUAUGAAGUGUUGCUGACCGAGCUCCUUGCUCUGUGUGGGAGGGAUCUUGCCAGCUCCAGCCUUGGUGGGUCUCCUUUUUCUGUUUCCAAGCUUAAAUAAGCACUUGGCUGUUCUGAUUAGCACUUUUAAAAGCUGUGUUAAUAAGUUCAAUUAAAAUAGAAGAAUCUCUCAUUCUGUCAUAUCGGGUUUUUUUAAUUGCAAACCAAUAAAACUUAAAUGAACUUGAGCAAAA